rnacentral:rRNA from 1 species
AACGUAGGAGACAAACGUUAUCCGGAGUUACUGGGCGUAAAGGGCUCGUAGGUGCCAACUAAGUCAGACGUGAAAUCCCUCAGCUUAACUGGGGACUGCGUCUGAUACUGGAUGGCUUGAGAUUGGGAGAGGGAUGCGGAAUUCCAGGUGUAGCGGUGAAAUGCGUAGAUAUCUGGAGGAACACCGGUGGCGAAGGCGGCAC